rnacentral:rRNA from 1 species
GAUGAACGCUGGCGGCGUGCCUAAUACAUGCAAGUCGAGCGAACAGACGAGGAGCUUGCUCCUCUGACGUUAGCGGCGGACGGGUGAGUAACACGUGGAUAACCUACCUAUAAGACUGGGAUAACUUCGGGAAACCGGAGCUAAUACCGGAUAACAUGUUGAACCGCAUGGUUCAACAGUGAAAGACGGUCUUGCUGUCACUUAUAGAUGGAUCCGCGCCGCAUCAGCUAGUUGGUAAGGUAACGGCUUACCAAGGCAACGAUGCGUAGCCGACCUGAGAGGGUGAUCGGCCACACUGGAACUGAGACACGGUCCAGACUCCUACGGGAGGCAGCAGUAGGGAAUCUUCCGCAAUGGGCGAAAGCCUGACGGAGCAACGCCGCGUGAGUGAUGAAGGUCUUCGGAUCGUAAAACUCUGUUAUUAGGGAAGAACAAAUGUGUAAGUAACUAUGCACGUCUUGACGGUACCUAAUCAGAAAGCCACGGCUAACUACGUG